CUGCCAGAGCUAAGAGGUCUGCAACCAGAAAUGUCAAAAGAUAUGGAAAGAAGGUCAUGCUGCAGUGGAUUUGUUUACCUUGACAUUACUGAAGAUGUGGCUGUUUUCCUGCCUGCAUACAAGUUGAAUGGCUUAUGCUUGGAAGAUGAAAUCAACGUGCCAUCCAACAUCCAUUGCCACCGAGACACUGAAGAGAGAC